UGGUGGAGUGAUUUGUCUGGUUAAUUCCGUUAACGAACGAGACCUCAGCCUGCUAAAUAGUGCAUCAAACACAUUGUGUUUGCUAUGUAACUUCUUAGAGGGACUGUCUGUUUCUAGCAGAAGGAAGUUUGAGGCAAUAACA
rnacentral:rRNA from 1 species